GUAAGGAAUAUUGGUCAAUGGAGGCAACUCUGAACCAGCCAUGCCGCGUGCAGGAAGACGGCCCUCUGGGUUGUAAACUGCUUUUAUCUGGGAAUAAACCUGCUUACGUGUAAGUAGCUGAAUGUACCAGAAGAAUAAGGAUCGGCUAACUCCGUGCCAGCAGCCGCGGUAAUACGGAGGAUCCAAGCGUUAUCCGGAUUUAUUGGGUUUAAAGGGUGCGUAGGCGGCCUGUUAAGUCAGGGGUGAAAGACGGUGGCUCAACCAUCGCAGUGCCCUUGAUACUGAUGGGCUUGAAUGGACUAGAGGUAGGCGGAAUGAGACAAGUAGCGGUGAAAUGCAUAGAUAUGUCUCAGAACACCGAUUGCGAAGGCAGCUUACUAUGGUCUUAUUGACGCUGAGGCACGAAAGCGUGGGGAUCGAACAGGAUUAGAUACCCGGGUAGUCC
rnacentral:rRNA from 1 species